CUCAGGUAAGGAGAACUGGCUGGGGCAGAGGGGGUACGCCGUCCUGCCCUGAGAGCCCUGUGAGAGAGUGAGGAGUUUGGAUAGGCGUCGGCGUUGAGUGCACUUGGGAAAAACAUGUCUCUUGAAACUUCACUGAGAGGUGAUGCAAAAAAUUCUGCUCCGUGCCCUGCAAUUGUUGCCUCUGGGGCUCUACUAUCCUCAAGAAAGUUGGGGAAUUCCAGGCUGGAAAUAUUCAGAAAACCAUUAGCUAGCUGUCAUAAUGGGGAGGUGGAGGGCAAGCUACGCAGAGGUCACAGAUCAUCUGAGGCAUUGCUUCAGCGUAUAAGCUUGCUUCCCACACAGCUCUUUGAAGAGUGGUUCAUUAACCGGGCAGGAGACCACUGGUUUUGAAGCCUCUUUUUCUCUUGCUCAACCUUGGAAAGAGCUGGGUUCCAAUGGGACCAUCCAACUCACCAGCAGGAUUGUGGUAAGCACUAAAUGAAUACUUCUAAAGCCCUAAAGCCCUGGACAGAGGCCUGGCAUAUUGUGACGACAUGAUGAUGUCCACUCUCAGCUGGAAAUAGAAAUGGCAGGCUUGCUGUGGUUGAAGUGGGGUGGGGGGUCUGGACCCACCCACGAAGACCUCCCCUUCACAUGAGGCCCAGCUGCACUUUGGCAUGGACCCAGCUACCAGCUAUGCUUGUCAUCCUGUGGCUGCCCUCAGCUACUCCUGUGCAGAAGUCAGUGAGUGUGCACCUAUAUCAUGGCUACGAGACACUCAGUGUGAAACUGCACAUGCUCACGGCAUCUGAAGCAGUGGAUUUGCUUGGGUGGCAGCACCCAUGUUUGUACAACCCCGUGUUUCUUAGAUGAAAAUGGAGCAAUCCUCCUGCACGUGUGUGCUCCCGUCUAAGGGUAUAGGAUUCAGCACUGAGAGUCAUACUUUCCACUGGAAUUGCUUUGCUGGACUCUGGUGACCUUUGAUUAAUGUCCACUUGACCCUUGAAGGACACAAGUUUGAGCCGCACCACUCACUUACAUGUGGGUUUUCUUCCACCUCUGCCACCCCUCCUCCUCCUCCUCUUAUGAUUUUCUAAAUGACAUUGUCUUAGUAUACAACACAUGUAACAUACAAAAUACAUAUUAGUCAACUGUUUAUGUUAUCAGUAAGGCUUCUGGUCAACAGUGGGCUAUGAAUAGUUGUGUUUUUGGGGAAUCAAAAGUUAUACGUGGAUUUUCAACAGCCCGGGGGGUGGAGUUGGUACCCUUAAGGUCAAAUAUAUUAGUCAAUUAACAUGCAUUGAUUAGGCCUACUUUACAGUCAAAACUAGACUGGCCAUUACCAGGACUGCUCUUCUGUUUUAGACACAAUCCCGCCCUCUGGGAGAUUAAAAUGUAAGUGGAAAGAGACAUGUGUCAUGUUCAGAAAUGGUUGAAUUCAGAGUGUGUCUGUCACAAAAAAACAUGCAUGUUGGAGUCAUUGACGAGCUGAGUUUGAGUUUCCAGUUCUUUAUUUGUACACUCUUGUGUCUCUGAGUGUUUGCAGGGAUUGAAUAAAGCUGUGCUACAAACUGUACAGCACAAGGGAUACUCGAAUGUCG
rnacentral:lncRNA from 1 species